AUUGAACGCUGGCGGCAGGCCUAACACAUGCAAGUCGAGCGGAUGAAGGGAGCUUGCUCCUGGAUUCAGCGGCGGACGGGUGAGUAAUGCCUAGGAAUCUGCCUGGUAGUGGGGGAUAACGUCCGGAAACGGGCGCUAAUAACGCAUACGUCCUGAGGGAGAAAGUGGGGGAUCUUCGGACCUUACGCUAUCAGAUGAGCCUAGGUCGGAUUAGCUAGUUGGUGGGGUAAAGGCCUACCAAGGCGACGAUCCGUAACUGGUCUGAGAGGAUGAUCAGUCACACUGGGACUGAGACACGGUCCAGACUCCUACGGGCGGCAGCAGUGGGGAAUAUUGGACGAUGGGCGAAAGCCUGAUCCAGCCGUGCCGGGUGUGUGAAGAAGGUCUUCGGAGUGUAAAGCGCUUUAAGUUUGGAGGAAGGGUAGUAAGAUAAUACCUUGCUGUUUUGACGUUACCAACAGAAUAAGCACCGGCUAACUUCGUG
rnacentral:rRNA from 1 species